GAUGAACGCUGUCUACAGGCUUAACACAUGCAAGUCGAGGGGAAACGACGGGGAAGCUUGCUUCCCCGGGCGUCGACCGGCGCACGGGUGAGUAACGCGUAUCCAACCUGCCUCUGACUGAGGGAUAACCCGUCGAAAGUCGGCCUAAUACCUCAUGGCAUCGUCUGCGGGCAUCCAACGACGAUUAAAGAUUUCAUCGGUCAGGGAUGGGGAUGCGUCUGAUUAGCUUGUUGGCGGGGUAACGGCCCACCAAGGCGACGAUCAGUAGCUGUUCUGAGAGGAUGAUCAGGCACACUGGAACUGAGACACGGUGCAGACUCCUACGGGAGGCAGCAGUGGGGAAUAUUGGACAAUGGGCGAAAGCCUGAUCCAGACAUACCGCGUGGGUGAAGAAGGACUUCGGGUUGUAAAGCCCUUUUGUUGGGAAAGAAAAGCAGCAGGUUAAUACCCCGCUGUUCUGACGGUACCAAAAGAAUAAGCACCGGCUAACUUCGUG
rnacentral:rRNA from 1 species